rnacentral:misc_RNA from 1 species
GAUGAAGAACGCAGCGAAAUGCGAUAAGUAAUGUGAAUUGCAGAAUUCAGUGAAUCAUCGAAUCUUUGAACGCACAUUGCGCCCGCUAGUAUUCUGGCGGGCAUGCCUGUUCGAGCGUCAUUUCAACCAUCAAGCCCUGUUUAGGCUUGUGUUGGGGCCCUGCGGUUGCCGCAGCCCCCUAAAUGCAGUGGCGGGCUCGUUGUCACUCCGAGCGCAGUAGCGUAUCUCGCUCUGGGCGUGGCGGCGGGUGCUAGCCGUGAAACACCCCCUAUCUUAAGGUUGACCUCGGAUCAGGUAGGAAUACCCGCUGAACUUAAGCAUAUCAAUAAGCGGAGGA